GGUAUAUAGCCAUGUCCAAUAAUGGUAAAUAUGUUCCUGUCUAUAUCACCAUUGGUGACGAAGAAAAUUGAAGCAUCAACACCACUGCAAAGGAAGUAGAUGCAGCAGAAGCCGAAGCAAAAGCAGCUAUAGCUUACACUGAUGAAGCUUCAAAGACACUGAGAGGACGAAACAUCUGCAAAAUGGUGACAGAGGAGGAAGAAGAAUGUGUUGCAGGAGAAGAGAGAGAGAGAAGCCUAGAAGUAGUAUAUGCUGAUGAUUUUCUACUUGGAAACUCUUUUUAGUUGUAACCAGUAAUCUCAGAUGCUAAAACUCUUCAUAUAUGUAACAAAUUAUCCUUUAGCUAGAGAACUUUUAGCAGAUUAAAAAUGUGUUAGAUAUUGUGAAAUUGGAAAGAUAUGUGGGCAAGUUAUACUGUUAUAGCAGGUAAAAAUAUUUGUUUUAUAGUCUGAGAAAGAAAUCGGUGGAGCCAUUAAUAAAUCGUGACCAUUUCUCUUCCUCAAAGUUUUCAAAUGUUCUAUUAUUUAUUUCUUGCGUGAAACAUUUUCACACCAAAAGCUAUUUUCACUAUAACGUAACCCAAGGGGGUGAAUCGUACCAAAGAAUAUUUUUUCAUAUCAAAUAAGUUUUUUCUAAAAAAUAUUCGAAAAAGAUAUUUUCUCUGUAUCUCAAAAAAAUCAAUAUUGAUGCAUUAAUUUGUAAUUUCGAAAAUGACAAUUUCUUUUUUUUUUAAUUUACAAUUUACCAAUAAACAAUGUAUUGAAAUUGUAAAAAUCUAUUUUUUUGAAAUAAAUAUAUUUUUUUUAAAAAAACGUUGAUCUUUUUGUAACUGAAAAAUCAAUAUCUAAACAGUAAAAAAUAAAAACAAAAUGUGUAAUUUUUUUUUAAAAAAUUAUAUCAUGAAUUCGAAAGUCCUCAAUAAAAAAUACUAAUAUGAAAAAUAUAUUACAUAAUAUGAAAAAACUAAUAUAAUGUAAUUUGACAAAAAAUAAUAAAAGUAAAAUAAAAUAAACAUAUAAAAAUACUUACACCGUUAAAAUGAAAAAUCUUAUAAAGCAUCUCAACUAUCCUAUUAUUAAAUUUAGUUUUUCCAAUCACAUUUGGAGCUCCAUAUGAUAAUAUCAAACAAUUUCAACCGUAAAGAUGUAAAAACAAAGAAAUGAUACAACGAUUUACACGUAAUUUAUAAUCAUAUUUUUAAAAGUAUAAAAAUAUUAAAUAAAAACUGUUGUUAGAUUGCAAUAUAUUUUUUUAUGUUUAUAGUUUAAAAAAUUAUUUAGUAAAAUAGUAGUUUUUAAUAGAAGUCUUAGUGUAUUUAACUCAUACAACAUUUUGAAAAGUUGUUUAAUUUAAUUUUUAUGAAAUUUGUUAAAUGAAUAAGAUUUAUAAUUUUAUUUUUACUUUAAAUAAUGAGUAUUUAUAUUAGCUUUAACUAUUACAACUGUAAUAUAUCAUAAACAUUAAAUAACAAUAAAAAAUUAAUAAACAAAUAUAUAUAAAUAGUAUAUAUAACAAACUGAAAUAUGUAAUCCGCGAGUAGCGCGGACCGAUCCUAGGAUAAAAGAAUAGGUGACAAUUGUAAUGUACAGUGAUGAAGCUACAAGGUAACCAGCAAGUUUUAAGCGGAACGAGAAAUAGGUAGCUCGAGUAGAAAAGGGAGACGAUUGCUCAAGCCAUGCUUAUGUGACUACUUCUAACAAUCAUUCACUGGAUGAAACAAGAGCACAAAGUUGUAGUGAUAGUCUAUCAAUGUCUGCUUUUAGUUACUCAUCCACCAUUUUUCUUAACUUAUGUAAAAACGAGCAAAAGAAAAAAAGUAGAAUAUUUAAUAAAGUAUAAAUCAAUUGUGAAUUUAACAAUUAUUUUCAUCAAAAUUAAAUAAGGAUGAUAAAAACAAUUAGAUCAUAAUUAUUCUCUAUGUCAGAUAAAUGCAUAUUUUGUUUUACAAAAUAUUUACAUAGAUACAUUUCAUUUCAUUUUUAAAACAAAGAUCCACAAGUUGGAUAGAAUUAAUAUAUUUACAUAUCUGUGAUAAAUAUUUUAUUUUCAAAAAUGCUGAGACCGUUAAACAAGAAAAUGCUACUAUAUUUACAUAAAUAUACUUAAUUUUAUUUUUCAAAACAAAGACGCACAAAUUGUAUUUAAUGUGUUCAAAUGAUUCAGUAUAUCUAUGGAUUAUAUCGUACUACUUUAUUUACACAGCAAGUAAAAUAAAUGUAUUUCAAAUGAAUCAACACAACUGGUGCGUGACAUAACUUAUAAAAUAUAAUCCAUAAAACAUUAACUAACCAAACAUACUUAUAAAUGAAAAAAUUAAAAGUAAUGUUAAAAAAAAAAUACAUUGUACAUCCAUAAUAUUGUUAAGUAGAAAUAGUAAUUCAUAUAUUCUGAUGGAAGCAAUAUAUAUAUUGAUAAAAAAAAAUUAAGAAGGUGGUUGUUGUAGUAGUUAACAAUUGAUAUUAAAUAUACAGUGAAGCUAUUAAAUAAAAUUUUGAAUAAUUAUUUAGUUUAAUAUGGUAUAUAUUUAGCUGUAAACUAUUUUCCGUACAUUUUUGUAAUCAUUUGUAUUUUGUUAUAAAUAUCUAAACAUCAUUCACUAAAUUUUAGUGAGAAUUUAACAGCUUAUUAGUUUGUAAUUAUUUUUCAAGUCAAAACAACAUAUACUAAAAAAAACAAGAUAAAAACCCCUAAGAUUUUUCCUACAAUUUAUUCUUACAUCUCAAUCAAAACUUACAAGAUAUUACUAAAUAUUAGAUGCACCACAUAAGUUAUUAUAUGAUAAUAACUUCCCCAACGACGGCAUAAUUACCUACUUAAGAGUAAAAUAUAAGCAAAAAUAUAUAAUAUAUAUAAAUUUUAAGUUUAAACCCGACAAAGCAUUUGACUGUUUGUCACUAUCAGUGCAUCGUUGAUUGGUUUAUUUCAAAUUUAAUCUGCCGAGCAUGUUUGAGAUAUAAUACAUUAUUAUUAUUUCCGGUUUAUCUGACUAACAAUUAACCGAUCUAAUAAUAAAUUUUACUCAUAUAUUUACUUAAUCUAUAAUUGCAAGUUCGUUUCUUUCCUCACGAGAUUCUAUAAAUUCAUCCAACUCCAGAAAAUUACCAAAAAUGAUGUGAUGGUACCAUGAAAAAAUAAAUAAAUAAAAACUACUUAUCAAGACAAUAUGGUAUAUUUAGUUUUCAAAUAUAAUAACAUGUACAAAAUUUAACUAAUAUGUAUAUUUUAAGAUAUAACGAUUUAUAUCAAAUAUUUACUGUAACUAUUUACAUUAUUUUCAAAUUAUCAUCCCGCCCAUAGGGCGGGCCGACCCUAGUCUUUAUAUAUAAAGUACUGUUUUACUCACUCCUGAAGCUGCCACAUCAGAUUCCAGCUCAGAAAGUCGUUGAAUCUGGAGUCGACACGUGUCCAAGAGAAUGAAACUCACCGUAUCAUUUAACUUUGAGUUACGUAGGUUAUUUUUGAUAUGGGCCUUAAAUUUGGUUGAUUCAACCAGCCCAGCAAAUAGUUUCUAUAAUUUAAACGCUGCUGCAAACGUCGUUUUGUGUAUUAGGGUUUCCACUUGAUGUCAUCUCCUCCCUUCGAUAUCACGACAUAACCAGAGGUCUGAGAGAUUGUUUCAGCUUCUUACUAACAAUCUCUAACAGUUACAUAUACCCCAUCUUAAAGUCCUUCUUAAAUUAUCACUCACGAUCUACCUUGAAUGCGAGCAUCUUCAUGCAAGGCGGUGGAACUUCGAUUAUAAAAAGAUCAGACAAGGCUCCUCCACCGUUCUCAAGUCCGGUUGCUCCGUUUCUGGGAAGCUAGGAACGUCCGUCGUCGCGGUGGCGAAGUCAUGGGAGUGGAUAUAGUUCUACAGGAUUCUCAGGCCACCAUGAUGCCGGUCACCGUGAAUGUCAACCGGCUUGCUGCUCACAGGCCUAAUCUGAAGGCGGGUUCAAUUUAUUCCCUAACCGGUUUUGAUCUGACCCGAUGUAAUCAGAAUUACGGUCUGUUGGACACCUCUAUGUUGAUCCGUUUCAGUAACCAAACCUCUUUCGAUGAUGUCCCCGAACCGUCUAUUCUGAUAGGAGUUUAAUCUAAUCACAUCGAGAUGCUUGGCCAUGCCAACACAAACACUCAGAUUCCAGACUUGACGUUGUUUGGGAUCCACUCAACGAAGUAGGACUGGAGAAGCUCUGGCUUGUGGUAGUGACUAUGAGAUCAAUGUUGGAUUCAGUGAAAACGAACAAAGAAAAAGCUAACAAGAAGAAGAAGGACAAGAAAGAAGAGAGUUUGAUGAACUAUAUAGUUAACCUGUUAGAUAGAAGAUGUUUAUACCUCAGCUGUUGGAAUGAUGUUUGAGUCAUGUGUUCUGGGAAGAUGCUUUCUCUUUAAGUCUCUUGCAUUUAUUUUGGUGACAUCGACAAUACUUAUAAUAUCCAGAAACUUCUCAGUAUGUCAUGAGCUAUAUUACAUUUUCAUUCUGUUAUUUUCUUCUUCUUUUUUUCUGUAUGAUUUAGUGAUUAAUGGUGGGAACUAUGUGUUCUAUCAUUGCAGUUUUUUACAUCUGCUAGCCAUAUUUAUCUUAUGAGAGUUGGUAAAUUUAGAUAUUAACAAUUACUGGCAGAUAUACACCGAGUAGUCACAAUUUUAUGCCAUGUGCACUCUCCUUUGUAUGAUUCAUAUAAUUCACCAUUGGUCUAGACAGAAACAUAUUUGUUCUUCUGCUAUGGGAGAAUGAUACUUCAUGUGGCUCUGUAAGCCCUAAGGAAUUGCUUUCUUAUGUUUCACUUUUCUCUAAAGAGUCCCAGUUAAGGCUUCUCUGAUCCAAUUCCAAUACAAACUCUCGGUUGCCACAAUGUGUGCGGUGAUUGUGUUUUUGAGAUUAAGUGAUUUCUAUUAUUUACUUAGCUAUCAGAUUUUCAAAGCUAUUGUUCACAAAAUAGUUUCUUUUUUUGUUAUAUCAAUUUCCAAAAAUAAAGGCUACAGCUAAAUAUGUCUUCUCAAAGUAACACAUAUAGGAAAGAGACUAUCCAAAUACAAUUAUGAAGCUUCUAACUUUUUUUUUUAACACCGAAGGAUUUCAUUGAUUAUAAACUUAGAAAAGAUUUACAAGUUGUGAUCAUAUGCUAGCAAGUUAUAAAAACUUCUAGAAACUAAGCCAACAGGAAUAACAUUCCUUUGGAGUUAUAGGCCGGCAGAUGCGAACUGAAUCUCCGGAGACAAGAGAGAUAUAAACUAAACCAAAAGAUCAAGUACACACAAUACAUGAAUCUAGAUCAAAUGAGCAAAAACACCCAUGCAAGAGGAAGGACCAAAGGAAGACGGAUAAGAUAGAACACAUCCACAGUCGAACUUAAUUUGGGUAGAACCGCACCUCAUUAUAUUGCUUUGAAGAUUACUUCACAAGCCACCGAGGAUGAAGCAGUACAUAACCCAAGAAGAUGAUGAGCACAGCUUUUAACAAUCAACUUCCACGACCGGAUGUAAAGAGCCAAAUCCGUCCAAGAUAAUCACAUUUGAGAUCCCUUGCGUAGAGGCAACAAGAUACAAAGAUUAAACCAUAAUCAUACCGUUUCAAGCGAGAUCGGGGAGAUGCAACCUUCAAUCUAUGGUAGAACCUCUACAAUAAGUGAAACAUGAAAAGCACAGCCAGAUCGGGGAGAAGGGAGAACAACGAGAGGAUCUAACGGAUCCUUGAAACGCAGAAGUCGAAACAAGGCCAAAAGACCAUCUGAAGAAACCCGAAGAGAAGAGGAAACGCCAUAACAGAGGAACAACAUCAUGAUAUAAGCACGCCACCGACUGAUCCAUCACCGACAUGCCUCGAACCUCAAAAGAAUCUGGAAUUCAAGAUCUAGAUCCAACUAUUGGAGACUUAAAACCUUAAGAAAACAUGCAAGCAAAGAGAAUGGAAGACAAGACCGGACCGACGGUGGCUGAGGAAGCACACACCGUCGGCCGGUAACACGCAAACAGAUCGGAAAACGAGAAAGCUUAGAGAGAAGGGAGAGCAAAUGACUUUAGAGAGAGGUUUUUGAUCUGAUUAAUCUCAUGUAUGCAGCUUCUAACUUAAUUUGACACAAAUAAAUCAAUCUCGAUUUGUUUUUGGAAAUAAAAAGAUUAUGAAAAAUGUAAUUGAUCAAAAAUUAUCUAAACAAUUACUCAAAACAGUUAGAAGGUAUAUGCCUUUUUUAAAUAUUUUAGUUUUUAAGAUAAUAAAUUCUAAAAAUAUUAAUAAAAUAUUAAUAAAAUAAGUAAUAAGAGUUUCUGACAGAAAUAACUGAAAUACAGUGAUAUAUUUGGUUUAAAACAAACUAAAAAUUUGUAAGUAAUUUAUUAUAAUUUUAUCAAAAUUUAAGUUAUGUUUAUAUUGUUUUUUAUUCGCUUACCCGCCCUAUCCUUGUCUUAUCUUAUAUAUAUAAAGUAGAGUUAUGCUCUACACACAGCCUUCCACAUCAUCAGGAAGCAUGGGGCUUCUUCUGCCACGUGGCACUCCCAAACACCAAUCGAUCUGCAUUUUAUUUAUGGCUUUUUCUUGGACUGGGCUUUUGUUAUAACUUGUGGAUGGGGUUUUUAAAACAAAAUGGCAAGCCCAGCCAGGAAUCUGAACUGAAUCCACCACUUCAUCUUCAUCGUUUGCAUCGGAGACGUUUCUCAACCUUCUGUUUCUCUAAAGUAACCUCGGGUUACGACCAUUUUUUCUCAUUAAAAUCCGUCUUCACUCCUUCAAUCGAAAGAGCUAUCGUUCUAACUCACUUUUGUUUAUCAAAAUAUAGAAACACAUCCUCUGAUUCUAUUCUCCACGCAUCAUACACGACAAAUACAGCACGGCGAAAGAGGCAUACUUAUUGGGUUAGAACUACUCUCAUGGACAAGAAGCUAAUUCACCAUAGCCAUCACUUAAUUCUUCAGUGAUGUAUCUCCAAGCUUGGUACGGAGCUGUGAACCAGUGAAUCCAUUUCAGUUAAACAACAGUCUCUGAAGUCAAGCAGGUAUGAGUAGAGCUGGGAAUUUUAAUUAAUGCCCGCGGGCCCCGCCCCAUUUGACCCGCUGCGGGGCGGGUGCGGGUCGAAGAAUUUGAAAAUUUGCAAUGGCGGGUGCGGGUGCGGGUCAAGAUUAUUUUAAGCGGGGCGGGUGCGGGUCAGUCGAAUUUGAGUCGCGGGUACUCGUUAACCCGCAAAUUUAAGAAAAAAAGAUUUUUUUUUUAAAAAAAUGUUUUUUUUUAUAAAAAAUAUAUUAAAUCUCGUAAAUAUUUAUAUAAUUUUAAUUAUUAAUAUAUUAUUUUAAUAUAAUUUUUUUAAAAUAAUAUUUUUUAACUAUAUAAUAAUUAUUUUUAAUUAAAAUAAUUAUUUUUAAUAUAAUUAAUAUUACCCGCGGGUUAAGCGGGUUACCCGCGGGUUUUUGCGGGGCGGGUGCGGGUAGAAAUUUUUUUGUUUGUGAGUUAUGCGGGUCAAUUUUUUGAAUCAAAAAAAUGAUUCAACCCGCAGCGGGGCGGGGCGGGUCGGGGCGGGUUGACCCGCAAACCCAGCACUAGGUAUGAGCCUGUCGCUGCUUCUACUCACUAGCGGCUCGAAUCAUGGUAUGUAUAUCCAUUCUGUUACUCCUCCUCUCCUUAUAUCUGAACCGUCUAUUUCUGCAAUCUUUGUUUCUUUCUUAUUUUGCUUUGUGGGUUAUUUUUCCGAUGAUCUGAUAUCUGAAAAGUUCUUUCUGUUUUAUUUGGUCGAACCUGGUAAUAUAACUUCUUUCUGUUUAAUUGUAAUUGAUCAAAAUUGUUUAGUUAAGAACAUAGGAUGCUCAACUUUGUGUUUGAAACUGUAACGUUUCUGAGAAUAUUGUAAUGUAAAAGUUGAAAGAUUGCAUUUUUAGGGUUCCUUGAUAAGAAUAAAAGCCUUAAAAUGGUUAAUGAUCCCAUAAUGUUUAGUUAAGCGUUGUGUUAGAGACUGUAAAGUGGCUAACGUUUGUCACUAGGUGUCUACAAGAUUGCUUGAUCCUUUUCUUGCUCACUUGAAGACAUCACAAGAUUAAGUUGCUAAAGGUGGCUGCGCAAUUGUUCUCAAGCCCGAUAUAAGAUUUUAUAUCAAUAUAAGAUUGUUUUUAAAUGAUACUUUUUUAACACACUGAUUAAAAUUGAGACUCUUUUCUUCUUUGUUAUCUUUAGGUUUCGAUUUGUGAGCAAUCCGGAUGUCCUAGAACGUGUUUACACUUUACAAACUGAGAUAAUGCAUAUCAAGGAAAAAUUGGUAUAUAGAACAAUUGUGUAGCGGCUGUAAAUGUUGUCAGUAAGCUUUUAUUUUUGUAUGUACAUUGUUUAGUGAAUUGACAGUUUAAACGUUCUAUUGUAUCAGUCAGGUGGAUGAUGAUCAACAACCAAAAAGUUCAGAGAGUACAUAAGGUGUUUUCUUGGUGCCAAAACUUUUAGAUGUCAGUCACUAAGAUGUUGUUUGCCUCUUGGCCCUUGAUCAUACAAUUUAACCGGUGCAGUCUGGGCUUUUCCAAAGCCAGAUGUUUGUUUACAAAUCAAGUCUCUUUCUUUCUUUCAUCACCCUCUCUCUCUCUCUCUCUUCAUAGCUUGAUCAAUAAAAAGGAAAAUGAAGUUGCAAGUGUUGUAAAUACAUUUCUGGUGGUAUAUUCAAGGUGGUCUAGAGCUUGUACAAGAGCAUUAGGGUUGGUAAAGGUUUGUCAAGGAUGGAAAGGCACAACAUCUUGCUUUACAACACCCACUUGAGGCAACAUUGGUAUGGACACAACCUGCAUUCUUACUACAAGUUGCUCCACUGUCAGAGUAGAGACCCGUACUUCUACUGGAAAGCUUAAGAGGGUGUUGUGGAAGACGGAAAAUUGUUCUACAAGAACAGUGGAGAAAUGCUUCAAACUUCUACUAUGGACAAUAAUGAUUCCAAAUGGAUCAUGGUGCUCAGAUGUUAUACGUUGGGAAGAAGGGUACUUUCAACAUUCAAGGUUUUUAGCUGGAGAAGCUACUGUUUCUGCAUGGGGAUUUGUUGUUGAGAAUGGUGUUCUUAGGGCUGUUUGGCCAUGGUCCGUGCUUGAUUGCAACUUUUUAAAUUUUAGUAUAGUAGAUUUUAUAAUUAAAAAAAAAACAGUUUUCAGUGUGUUGUGAGUAUUGUUAAGAGCUAAUAAUAAAUUCGUGAAAAGUUUGUCUUAAAAAAGCUUCAGAAAAUAAAUGAGAUAU